rnacentral:rRNA from 1 species
UACGGAGGAGGCAAGCGUUAUCCGGAAUUAUUGGGCGUAAAGCGUCCGUAGGUGGUUGGCCAAGUCUGCUGUCAAAGGGGGGGGCUUAACCUCAUAACGGCAGGGGAAACUGGCGAGCUAGAGUGCGGUAGGGGUAGGGGGAAUUCCCAGUGUAGCGGUGAAAUGCGUAGAGAUUGGGAAGAACAUCGGUGGCGAAAGCGCCCUGCUGGGCCUGCACUGACACUGAGGGACGAAAGCUAGGGGAGCGAAAGGG